AGAGUUUGAUCCUGGCUCAGGACGAACGCUGGCGGCGUGCCUAAUACAUGCAAGUCGAGCGAAUCAAUAGGAGCUUGCUCCCGGUGGUUAGCGGCGGACGGGUGAGUAACACGUGGGCAACCUGCCUGUAAGACUGGGAUAACACCGGGAAACCGGUGCUAAUACCGGAUAAUCCUUUCCCUCUCAUGAGGGAAAGUUGAAAGUCGGUUUCGGCUGACACUUACAGAUGGGCCCGCGGCGCAUUAGCUAGUUGGUGAGGUAACGGCUCACCAAGGCGACGAUGCGUAGCCGACCUGAGAGGGUGAUCGGCCACACUGGGACUGAGACACGGCCCAGACUCCUACGGGAGGCAGCAGUAGGGAAUCUUCCACAAUGGACGAAAGUCUGAUGGAGCAACGCCGCGUGAGCGAUGAAGGCCUUCGGGUCGUAAAGCUCUGUUGUUAGGGAAGAACAAGUAUCGGAGUAACUGCCGGUACCUUGACGGUACCUAACCAGAAAGCCACGGCUAACUACGUGCCAGCA
rnacentral:rRNA from 2 species